UUCCGGUUGAUCCUGCCGGACCUGACUGCUAUCGGAUUGAUACUAAGCCAUGCUAGUCUUUGUAGUAAUACCAGGCAUACGGCUCAGUAACGCGUAGUCAACUUACCCUAUGGACGGGGAUAAUCUCGGGAAACUGAGCAUAAUACCCGGCAGACCACUUAUCCUGGAAUGGUUAGUGGUUAAAAUGAUUCGUCGCCAUAGGAUGGGACUGCGGCCUAUCAGCUUGUUGGUGAGGUAGUGGCCCACCAAGGCGAUUACAGGUACGGGCUCUGAGAGGAGAGGCCCGGAGAUGGGUACUGAGACAAGGACCCAGGCCCUAUGGGGCGCAGCAGGCGAGAAAACUUUGCAAUGUGCGAAAGCACGACAAGGUUAAUCCGAGUGAUUUCUGCUAAAGGUAUCUUUUGUUAGUCCUAAAAAUACUAGUGAAUAAGGGGUGGGCAAGUUCUGGUGUCAGCCGCCGCGGUAAAACCAGCACCUCAAGUGGUCAGGAGGAUUAUUGGGCCUAAAGCAUCCGUAGCCUGUUCUAUAAGUUUGCGGUUAAAUCUAUACGCUCAACGUAUAGGCUGCCGAAAAUACUGUAGAACUAGGGAGUGGGAGAGGUAGACGGUACUCGAUAGGAAGGGGUAAAAUCCUUUGAUCUAUUGAUGACCACCUGUG
rnacentral:rRNA from 1 species